CACGUAGGGUGCGAGCGUUGUCCGGAAUUAUUGGGCGUAAAGAGCUCGUAGGCGGUGUGUCGCGUCGGCCGUGAAAACCUGCAGCUUAACUGUGGCUUGCGGUCGAUACGGGCAUCACUGGAGUUCGGCAGGGGAGACUGGAAUUCCUGGUGUAGCGGUGAAAUGCGCAGAUAUCAGGAGGAACACCGGUGGCGAAGGCGGGUCUCUGGGCCGAUACUGACGCUGAGGAGCGAAAGCGUGGGGAGCAAACAGG
rnacentral:rRNA from 1 species